CUGGUCUCUCAGAAGCAGGGAGAGAGCACCAUACAUCUUGCAGCAUGUCCUUACCAGCUCGGAAAGCUUUGCCCUUGCAUUACUGCCAGUAAACUGUUCCUAACAUUUGUUACGCUUUAUAUUAAUGGAUGCUACAUUUUCCCAUUUCAUACCCUACCAAACAGCAUGAUGGGAUGACAGCAUCAAACAGGUAGUAGGCAGAAGUGAUGCAUGAAAACUACCCUUAGCUGGAGAGCCAUACUGUUUUUUCCGCUUUCUUACAGUGGCUGUUGGUUGUUCUUAAUCACCUGCCUCACGCAGGCAGGCACUGGCUGGGGAGCUAAGGGAAGGGCUGAGUCCAAAACACAUGGUAACUAAGCAGCAGGACUUGAGACGCUGUCUGGAAAAACAACAGAGACUCACCUCCUACUAUUUUUCUUCCAGGGAAGCAGCUCCCAUUGCGCCAUUUUCCUGGCAGAAGAAGUUAUGAUCUUCAGGAAAAAGCUUCUUUCAGAGUGGGUUAUGUUUUAAUUUGUUGUUGUUGCUGUUGUUUUCAAGCUGUGUAUGUGUGAGGAAAUGGCAUGGAGUGGAGGGGGGAAGUUGUCUCUGACAUCUGCAGGUUCAUCUUGGAAAGAGUGGAAGGAGGGAGGACUGAAGUACAUGGCCUGCAUCUGUUCCAAGAGGAACCCGAACAGAAGGAGGUUGUACUUCUUUUCCUGUUUGUACUUCUGGAGAUGAUGCCAUUAAUUAUGUGUUUACAACACUUCAACUCUUCUUCCUAGCUUAGGCUCAAAGCUCAUAGUCCUGACUCAGCUCCAAAAAUCCACUGAGGUAGGUGGGACAGUCGUUCUGACACAAUAUUUAAUAUCAGGCCUAAAGGCUGGAUCUAGUCAAAGAAAAACAUCUACUCUAUGAAAGCAAAUGUAUCUUAUAAACGGUAGAAGCUGCUCCCCACUCACUGGAUGCUGAAGACAGAGGAUGGUUGUACUUCCUCAGCCAUCAUCAUCCAUAGCAUUUACUGUGGGGAUGACAGCUGUCUCCUGAUAAUGAUUUCCCUAGCACAGCAAUGUCCAGCCAGCAGCCAGAUUUCACCAAGAAUCUGUGAGGGACACCUUGAGAACUCACUGAGAAUUGCAGUUACUUCCUCUGAACCAGACUGACGUGUUAGUUUCACAAAAACAAGGUCACAUAUCCCACUGGUUUUAUGUUUUUGUUGUUCUCUUCUUUAUAUGUUUUAAUAGAAGAACAUUAAAAAUUAAAGUAAGUUUUGUCACUUAUAUACAUUAUCAAUAUUAUAAGAGCUGCUCCAAAAGUAAUACCUCCUGCUUUAUGGUGUCAGCUCAGGAUGUCAGAGGUGGGCAUUGGUGGUAUGGCAGAAGUUGAACCUUCCCACCACAAUUCCAUUACGUUUUGUUGCUGUGUGACAGAUGGCAGCAGAGGGACGGUCUGACACAAUGAAGUCUGACAUGGAAGUGCAUAUGAAGCAAAGGUGUGUAAUUGAAUUCCUUCAUGUGGAGAAAAUGGCACCCACUGACAUUCAUUGGCACUUGCUGGAGACUAAACCAUGGAUGUGAGCACAGUGAGGUGGUGGCUGGUACAUUUCAGCAGUGAUGACAGCAACAUAUUUCAGUCCUUGCUCAUCUUGGGAUUAAUGGAACCAGUACUUACAGCUGCAGUGCCAGAGGCAGGACCCAUAUAUUUCUUUGACCAGAUGAAAGCUAGAAUGAAAGAGAGGGACAGGGAGAUAUCAGGAGAAGUGUCCUCGUAUUGCCACGCGCUCACUACAAAUCCUCAUUCCAUCAGCUGUACUCCCAGGCAGACAAGGACUCACUCACCACUUAACAUGUUGAAUAAGUCUGCAUCUGCAACUUGGGGAGAAGUGGCAGCUCCUGGCUAGGUAUCAGACUGGUUUUCCACUGGAACUUGUAACUGUGCUUACCUGCAGCUGGAGGGAACUCACUGUGAGGGCUGAUUUCUGUAAACGGCAGCAGAAGUUGCUAUCAUACAGAAGCAUGAGAUCCAGGAGAAGCCAGGCCUCAGAGGAGGUUAAGAAUAGUACUCUGGCAUCCAAAUGUAAGGAGCAUGAAAUCACUGCCAUCAGAAAAGAACAACACAAGAAAGGCUUUAUUCUAUCAGCCUGCACUACAAAGGGAGAAAUAAAUCCUGAGACAGCAUCAAAUGCACCUUCAGAAAGUGAAGGUAAUACAGUGCUGCACAAAUGUGCUGUGUUGUAACGUUUGGCCAAAAAAAAGGAAAAAAGUGCUUUCUGUUAAGAAUACACCAUUGGCUGGAUAGGCCAAUGUGCUCCAGCUUAUAACUUGAUAUACUGCAGUUCUUUGCAAAGCACUAGUUUAGGAC
ensembl:lncRNA